GGAAGAGGAAAAGGAAAUCUGACGGGUUGGAUUGCUCGUGUGUCCACGGGACAAAUCCCAUUUGAAAUAGAUGGUGUGAGUUUGUCAAAUGCUCGACAAGCCGCUAGAUUAGCGGAGCGAGUUAUUACAGUUUUCUAG
rnacentral:rRNA from 1 species